AUUGAACGCUGGCGGCAGGCUUAACACAUGCAAGUCGAGCGGAGAUUAGGUGCUUGCACCUUAUCUUAGCGGCGGACGGGUGAGUAAUGCUUAGGAAUCUGCCUAUUAGUGGGGGACAACAUUCCGAAAGGAAUGCUAAUACCGCAUACGUCCUACGGGAGAAAGCAGGGGAUCUUCGGACCUUGCGCUAAUAGAUGAGCCUAAGUCGGAUUAGCUAGUUGGUGGGGUAAAGGCCUACCAAGGCGACGAUCUGGAGCGGGUCUGAGAGGAUGAGCCGCCAGACUGGGACUGAGACACGGCCCAGACUCCUACGGGAGGCAGAAGUGGGGAAUAUUGGACAAUGGGGGGAACCCUGAUCCAGCCAUGCCGCGUGUGUGAAGAAGGCCUUAUGGUUGUAAAGCACUUUAAGCGAGGAGGAGGCUACUGAGACUAAUACUCUUGGAUAGUGGACGUUACUCGCAGAAUAAGCACCGGCUAACUCUGUGCCAGCCGCCGCGGUAAAAC
rnacentral:rRNA from 1 species